rnacentral:rRNA from 1 species
UGGCGGCGUGCCUCAGACAUGCAAGUCCGAACGAUUAAAGCUCUCUUCGGAGAGUGUAUAGAGUGGCGCACGGGUGAGUAACACGUAAGUAAUCUACCCUCGAGUGGGGAAUAACAACCGGAAACGGUUGCUAAUACCGCAUAAUGCAGCGGCACCGCAAGGUGACAGUUGUUAAAGAUUUAUCGCUUGAGGAGGAGCUUGCGGCAGAUUAGCUAGUUGGUAGGGUAACGGCUUACCAAGGCUACGAUCUGUAACCGGUCUAAGAGGACGGUCGGUCACACUGACACUGAAUAACGGGUCAGACUCCUACGGGAGGCAGCAGUCGGGAAUUUUGGGCAAUGGGCGAAAGCCUGACCCAGCAACGCCGCGUGAAGGAUGAAGUAUUUCGGUAUGUAAACUUCGAAAGAUAGGAAGAAUUAAUGACGGUACUAUUUAUAAGGUCCGGCUAACUACGUG